CUUAACGCCUAAACUAUUUAUUUUUUCCAUUAUAAGGAGGCCAAGAGCCUCAGAACAAUCUAGUACUACAAAGUCUAGAAAAGGAUACACCAAUCCCAUAUUGGUUCAUCAACGCAACAACGGUACGAGAAGGCACUGAAAGAAAAUGGCAUUGGCAACCCCAGACUAAUAUUGAUACCCAUACUGGCUAUGUGGUCAGCACAGCUACUUGCCUUGCCUCUCUGUAGAUGUGUUUAACAUGCACCGCCCAGUCCCAGGAAGGCUGCAAAUGGUUGGUUUCUCUAAUUAAAAGCCGUAACCGAAGCUGCAGCUGAAUUUCUUUUGCUGCUCAAUCAGAAUUCCCACCAAAACUUUGUCCCCAAGCUCAACGUGCCUACGACCGCCAUUCCAAGCCACAGGAAGGCCGCGAACAGCAACCCAACAUUCAGCUGCCAACAACACACUGCACAAAUACGAAUAUUCACCACAAGCUCAGAGUCCCAGGCACCCUGAACUUGCCAUUACUAGGUUGCACAUCAGUGUUAUUUUUCACGCAUUCAGCAGGUGGGAGGAUUCCAGCAUUAAGUGUUAUUUUAAU
rnacentral:lncRNA from 1 species